GAUGAACGCUAGCGGCAGGCUUAAUACAUGCAAGUCGAGGGGCAACAGGGGUAGCAAUACCUGCUGGCGACCGGCAAACGGGUGCGGAACACGUACAGAACCUUCCUUUAAGCGGGGGAUAGCCCAUAGAAAUGUGGAUUAAUACCCCAUAGUAAUGUUUGAUGGCAUCAUCAGAUAUUUAAAGAUUUAUCACUUAAAGAUGGCUGUGCGGCUGAUUAGGUAGNGGUUGAGGUAACGGCUCACCAAGCCAUCGAUCAGUAACUGGUGUGAGAGCACGACCAGUCACACGGGCACUGAGACACGGGCCCGACUCCUACGGGAGGCAGCAGUAAGGAAUAUUGGUCAAUGGACGCAAGUCUGAACCAGCCAUG
rnacentral:rRNA from 1 species